rnacentral:rRNA from 1 species
GACGAACGCUGGCGGCGUGCUUAACACAUGCAAGUCGAACGGAAAGGCCCUGCUUUUGUGGGGUGCUCGAGUGGCGAACGGGUGAGUAACACGUGAGUAACCUGCCCUGACUUUGGGAUAACUUCAGGAAACUGGGGCUAAUACCGGAUAGGAGCUCCUGCUGCAUGGUGGGGGUUGGAAAGUUUCGGCGGUUGGGGAUGGACUCGCGGCUUAUCAGCUUGUUGGUGGGGUAGUGGCUUACCACGGCUUUGACGGGUAGCCGGCCUGAGAGGGUGGCCGGGCACAUUGGGACUGAGAUACGGCCCAGACUCCUACGGGAGGCAGCAGUGGGGAAUAUUGCACAAUGGGCGGAAGCCUGAUGCAGCAACGCCGCGUGCGGGAUGACGGCCUUCGGGUUGUAAACCGCUUUCGCCUGUGACGAAGCGUGAGUGACGGUAAUGGGUAAAGAAGCACCGGCUAACUACGUG